UACGGGGGGGGGUAAGCGUUGUUCGGAAUUACUGGGCGUAAAGGGCUCGUAGGCGGCCAACUAAGUCAGACGUGAAAUCCCUCAGCUUAACUGGGGAACUGCGUCUGAUACUGGAUGGCUUGGAUUUGGGAGAGGAAUGCGGAAUUCCAGGUGUAGCGGUGAAAUGCGUAGAUAUCUGGAGGAACACCGGUGGCGAAGGCGGCAUUCUGGACCAAUAUUGACGCUGAGGAGCGAAAGCCAGGGGAGCAAACAGG
rnacentral:rRNA from 1 species